GAGUCUUGCAAUCGCCUCUCUAGUGCGUGGCUUGAUUUUGGUGUGUGUGUGUGUGUGUGUGUGUGUGUGAGUGUUGGGCUCCGUGUGUGAUAUUCUAAGGAAACAACAGAGUAAGGCCACACCCUGCAAGGCUCCCCCUGAGGUGGGUUCCCCUCCACUCUUAAUCUUCCAGGGAUGUUGCUUCUUAGGACACUGGGAGCCAGACGUGGCUUUGGACAGGAGAGUCUCUCUCUCUCUCUCUCUCUCUCUCUCUCUCUCUCUCUCUCUCUCUCUCUCUCUCUUCAUUCCCUUAGAUGUUGAGCUGUCCACAUGGGUUGGAAGGUCCUCCUAGAAGAAGAGGAAAGGUGGCCUCCACCCUCACCCCCAGGGCUAGCCUCAGAACAGCCAGGAAGACAACUUAGGCAGGAACCCAAGUUGCUUAUGAUGAACUGUAUUCUGUUUAUUUUCUUUUCUCCUUCUUAUAUCCUCAGGCUUCUAGUAAAAUCUGCUGUAAAUGCCCCAAAGUGGUCUCUGCCAUUAGGUGGGAAUGAACAGAAGACUGAGUGGCCUUCACUCAGGCAAACAUGUGAGCAAAGGAAGAUGUGGUCUCUGCUCCUGUUCCCAGCUUCUCUGGAUGAUGAGCCAUGGGAGGGCAAGGCUUUGCUCUGGUCUCCAACACCUGUCUCUGCAAGGACCACCCACUCCCCAAGCCUUUGCCACCCAUGGUCCUAAAGUCUUCUCACUCAUCCUUGACCUCACGGCCUUCACUCAAGAGGCUUAUGUGUGGGGCCUCUCUCUCAUGGGACAGCGCAUGGCUCGGAGUGUACACAGAAGGACAAAGUUGCAAGAUGCUUCCAUCAGGAGAGAGGAAAACAGAUCCACAGGGACGGAGGGGACAUCUGUGGCUGCCAGUUGCCUACAAGACAGUCCACCUUCUCUGAGCUACCAGGACCAUCGAUUCCCAAGGGGCACAGGGCCAGACCCCUGGGAUGGCCAGAACCACCAAGGGUAAUGAAAGCUUCUGCCCAGACAUGAAUGGAUGGAGAGCGAUCCACCAGGGAGAGUGGCUAUCCAAGACUGACUUACCCAAGACCAGAAGCUCAUUGGUGUCACCAUAGGUGGCAUCCUUAGAUUGUUCUCUUUGAUAAAUUUGGACAGUUUAUGGCCUGCGGAGGGGCAGAGUGAAGCGAUACCCACCACACAGCUCUUGUGACAGCUGCUUUAUGUUUAUGCAUUCUCUGAAAUAACUUUGGAUAAAAGGAAAAUCAAGUUCUGUUUUGUUUUCAUUUGUGCAAAGACAACUUCCCAUCCAUGGGUCCACCAUGCAACAAAUGCAUGUCUGCCUAGAAAGAAGCUCACCACUCUCCUUAAGUUUGGUUUUGAAAGAAUUGUAUAUGCCUUAUGGAUGAUGCUCAUCCUUAUGACACCCGGGAGAGGGGGGAGUUUUCCAGAAGUUGAGAUUGAGUAGUGGGUGCUUGGUACAACUGGAAGGUGGUGGUGUUAGAAUUCAGGAUAGGAUCUGCCUGACUCUAAGAUCCGAAGACUUCCUUACCCUUUGCCGUUACCUCGGAAUCAGAGUGUCAACCGUGGGCUGACACAGGCGGACGUCUUUCCUGGGUGCCUCAGUUCCAAAGCUGUCCAGUUAUUGGAAGCAUUGUCCUGACACCUGGUUGAUGAUAUGACUUCCUUCAGAGAUCCAGACUGGAUCCAUUCCUGGAUUCCCUACAGCCUGUUCUGAAAGAGGGAAAGAAAGCCUGCCAAGGAUGUGGAGGAGCUUUUCAGCUCCAUGGGGCUGAGUGAAGGACUGAGCCUCACAAGCCAACCUCAAGCCAUCUCUGUUUAUGGAGCCAUCAGAGGAGUUGUGUGCCGCCUACCCCGCCCCCUCAUUGGAGUACCGGGCUGGGCCCUGGGGGCCCUGGAUUCCAGACUUCGGUCUGCCACCAGCCUAGGUCAUCACACCUCUUGGGUCCAUGCUCAAAGGGGUUCAACUCUCCUCUCAGGUGAGUCAAGUUCUCGCUCUUCAAAAUAGGGCAUAUUUUCGGACACUCCAGGCUCCACCAGACUAGAGCCAGUGUGACCAUAGGAGAUGAAAACAGAGUAUCCCUCACCAUUUGGAACUGAUUUAUUUCACAAUAUCUUAGAGGGCACCGUGGAUGCUUGGCAGGGGCUCCUACAAGAUCGCCUGCCAGGGCAGCUGCUUUUUGGCAGCUGAUGGGAAGUCAGAGAGCUUCAUAUUUUCACCAGGUCCACAAACUCCCAUAUCUCAUUAGUCUGGAGGUUAGAGUAAAUGGUGCUUUCUUAUUUCCUCUGAAACAAUGUGCUAUGGAUGGAAUCCAAAAAUGAUAUGUUGAAGUCUUCACCCCCAGGACCGCAGGAUGGGAUCUUAUUUGGAGACUGUGUCUUUACAGACACACAGGUAGACAAGUGAAAGGAGGCCAUUUAUGAUGGGUUUGCAUGCAGUGUCCUUAUACAAAUGAGGAACAGGGACUCAGAUAGACACACAGAGAAAUGGAAGACAAUGGAAGACAAAGGGGGAAGCCAGCCAUCGACCAGGCAAGGGGAGAGCCGGGAACAGGCUGUCCCUCACAGCCCUCAGAAGACAUCAUCAUCUCAGACUUCUGGCCUCCAGAACUGUGAGACAAUGCAUUUCUGCUGUUCACACACACACCCCUCUGCCACCUUGCGGGACUUUGUUGGGGCAGCCCCGGUGCACCAACACACUGUGUGAGAUCGUUUGUCAGCCCAAAGAAAUCGAACUUGGUUCUAAGGCGGGGUAGUGGCCCAUACUCAUGAGGCUGAAUACAGAGAGCACGUGACACUGGGGACCCAAGGACAUUCCAUCCUCCCUGCCCCCCCUCCCGCCAUUUUCCUUUCCUAUUUUUUCCAAAGAGAAGGUGAGACAUAGACUAAGACUUUUCCCACUUGGUACUGCCUCCCACUUUGAUUAAUUUGAAGUUAUAUUUAAAAAUGGAAAUGUUAAACAUUUAAGUUGCCUUUGUUUUAAAAAAAAUUUUUAUUUACC